rnacentral:rRNA from 1 species
UACGUAGGGAGCAAGCGUUGUCCGGAAUCAUUGGGCGUAAAGCGCGCGUAGGUGGCUUCGUAAGUCCGUUGUGAAAGUCAAAGGCUCGACCUUUGAAAGCCGAUGGAUACUGCGGAGCUAGAGUACGGAAGAGGCGAGUGGAAUUCCUGGUGUAGCGGUGGAAUACGCAGAUAUCAGGAGGAACACCAAUAGCGAAGGCAGCUCGCUGGGACGUUACUGACACUGAGGCGCGAAAGCGUGGGGAGCGAACAGG